rnacentral:rRNA from 1 species
AGGCAGCAGUGGGGAAUAUUGCGCAAUGGGCGGAAGCCUGACGCAGCGACGCCGCGUGAGGGAUGACGGCCUUCGGGUUGUAAACCUCUUUCAGCUCUGACGAAGCGAGAGUGACGGUAGGAGCAGAAGAAGCACCGGCCAACUACGUGCCAGCAGCCGCGGUAAUACGUAGGGUGCAAGCGUUGUCCGGAAUUAUUGGGCGUAAAGAGCUCGUAGGCGGUCUGUCGCGUCGAAUGUGAAAACCCGGGGCUCAACCCCGGGCCUGCAUUCGAUACGGGCAGACUAGAGUUCGGUAGGGGAGUCUGGAAUUCCUGGUGUAGCGGUGAAAUGCGCAGAUAUCAGGAGGAACACCGGUGGCGAAGGCGGGACUCUGGGCCGAUACUGACGCUGAGGAGCGAAAGCGUGGGGAGCGAACAGGAUUAGAUACCCUGGUAG